rnacentral:rRNA from 1 species
UACGAAGGGGGCUAGCGUUGCUCGGAAUUACUGGGCGUAAAGGGCGCGUAGGCGGACAGUUAAGUCAGAGGUGAAAGCCCAGGGCUCAACCCUGGAAUUGCCUUUGAUACUGGCUGUCUUGAGUAUGGGAGAGGUGAGUGGAACUCCGAGUGUAGAGGUGAAAUUCGUAGAUAUUCGGAAGAACACCAGUGGCGAAGGCGACUCACUGGCCCAUUACUGACGCUGAGGCGCGAAAACGUGGGGAGCAAACAGG